rnacentral:lncRNA from 1 species
UCAGAAGUGUCACUGUACAUGUUCCUGCUUUCAAGUGGCCACAUACGGCUCCAUUUUGUUUUUUCUCACCAGGUCUAUACCAACUGAUUUUGCCCAGCCUGACACCCAGACACAAUGGUGAGGGUGUCUUGGACAUGUCACCAUCAGCCAGUCCAAGGGCUGGAAGGAAACAAUGCAUGAUUUAUUGUGUCUGGCGCCCAUGCAGUAAAAAAGUGUACCCUGGACGACAUUGUUACAUGUGCUUUCCCAAAUCCACGGACUUCUGGCUGAUCCGGGGUUGCAAUAUGCACUGCACCACCAUCCUCUCUCUUGGAAAUUCCCUUCGGCUGGGAAAGAAAUGGAUGAUCAAGGUCAGUGGUUUCCAACCAGGCUGAACAUCAGAAUCCACAGGAAUGAUGCUAAGCCCCAUUUCACCUCUGAGACUUUCAGGUUCAAGCGUCUGGAAUGGGGCCACAGAUCUGAAUUUUUAAAGAAGGGUUCUGGUUGACUCUGACAGUUACAUUAAAUGAGUAUAUUUUGGAACCACCAGGCUGAGUGGCCUUAAAAUUUUCUUCAAGAACUAAGGCUCCAGGGCAGGAGGGUACUAGGGAAACUGCCUGGCCACCUGACCCUUCUCUGAUCUCCUCACUCUCUCAGGUGACCCCUUCCUGGACCUAGCAUCCCUCAACUUUUCUGACUUCCCUGGACCAGGCUGGGAACUCACAUUCUCUUCUAGAGAAUAGAAUGCAAUAGAGUUGAUGGGAUGUCACUUUUGAUAUUAGUAUGUAAAAAGGCUGUGCACUCUCUCUUGCCUUCUCACUUGCUUUGAGGGAAGCCCACUGCCAUGUUGCAAGUUGCCCUGUGAAGAGGCCUCCAUGACAAGGAACUGUAGGGUCCCCUGGACAACAGCCAGCAAGGCAAUGAGACCCUUAGUCUCAUCAAUAGUCUACGAGGAACUGAAUCUUGCAAGAACCACAUGGAUGAGGUUGCAAGGUCCAAUUAGAUAAACUCAUCCUCGCUGGCAGAUAAUGGCACCAAUGUGAUCAUCCUCCUAGAGGUAUUUUCAUCUUGGUAUGGAGCCUCCAGAGCUAUCUUUGCUUGAAAGAAUGAAACUUCAGGAAUGAAAGUUUGCACAUAAAGCAAGCCCAUGAGAAAGACAUUUCGGGAAAACUAGAAUCCUGUUAAGUUAUGGGAUUUUUUUCAAGCCACAUGGUUGAUAAGUAGUCUGACCAGGAUCCUGGAGCAACACAAGGAAGACAAGGACCCUUGAAGACAAGGCAGCCUUGAAACCAAAUGAAGCCCUGGGCCAGUGAGCAUGGCAAGAGGAAGACUGUUAAUUGCGAGAAAGCUGGGUCUUGAAGAUGAUUCCAUAUCAACAUACAGGGAGUUCCACCACUGAAUGGUCUAUCGGUUGGGAAUGCCAUCAUUUAUUUUCACCAGUGGGGAAGAAUUGGUAUUAAUAUCAAAACCACAGUACUGUCAUACCCAGCUAUAAUUUGCAAUGUUUAUAUGCCUGUACGAAUGAAUAAUUAACAGUUAAAUGAAUCAAUAUAUAUCUAUCUAUGUGUAGGAAUAUCUAAUCUAUAAUAUAUGCUCGCGUAAGUGGUAAUUAAUCUCUUUUUUGAGACAGGGUCUUUCUCUGUCAUACAGGCUGGAGUGCAAUGACAUGAUUAUGGACCUUCAGGGAUUGAGCAGCUCGACAUCCCAAGGAUCAAGCAAUCCUCCGGCCUCAGCCUACCAAGUAGCUGGGACUACAGCCAUUUGACACCCC